rnacentral:rRNA from 1 species
UACGUAGGGUGCGAGCGUUAAUCGGAAUUACUGGGCGUAAAGCGUGCGCAGGCGGCGUUGCAAGACAGAUGUGAAAUCCCCGGGCUCAACCUGGGGACUGCAUUUGUGACUGCAAGGCUAGAGUACGGCAGAGGGGGAUGGAAUUCCGCGUGUAGCAGUGAAAUGCGUAGAUAUGCGGAGGAACACCAAUGGCGAAGGCAAUCCCCUGGGCCUGCACUGACGCUCAUGCACGAAAGCGUGGGGAGCAAACAGG